rnacentral:lncRNA from 1 species
CUUAGGAGCCAGUGUUGUCCAGAUUCUCACCGUGGUAAGAGCUUCAGAAACACAGCUGAGUAAGAGCUUCAGAAACACAGCUGAGAGAUUUGAAUGAAUAGAAAUGAAAAUAAAACCCAUAGAGACAAUUAUCUGUCAUGGCAUAUCCACACCCCACCCAGCUCACAAGAGUUCCUUUGUCUCAUACUGUACUGGGUGAUGACAGUCAGAGUUUUCCACCUUCAUCUGUUGUCCAGCUGAUACGGUUCUUUCUUUAGCUGCAUGCAACAUUUCCAAAAGGCUGACUUUCAGAAUCCAUUUGGCUUGCUCUUUUCCUACAGAAGUGGGAAUAUUUAACCAUGGAAUUGGUACCAUGGGGGUUUGGAACUAGGUGAUCUUUGGGGUCUCUUCUAACCCAGGCCAUUCUAUGAUGAUUCUGUCUGCAGAAGCAUCCCCAGUGCUUGAAGGUGACAAAUUUGGCAGAGACAAUAUAUACCUCCAUUACAAAACCAUUGUUCUACAUUACUGGCUUGUUUUACCUAGGGAAUAGUGCAGUGAUUGAUUCAUCACACCAUGAACCAUAAACUUUUCCUUUCAACAUUUCAUACAAAUAGUGCACACUUGCUGAUGACCCUGAUGUAGUUUCUGAUAUUUGGAGCUUUUAUAUCAGUGCAAAUUACAACAGCCAUUGUGCAGUGUGAAAGCAAGAGCUGCUCAGAGGAGCACUGAGAACAGGGAUUUUCUAACCAUUGGUUCAUGUGAUGUGCCAACAUGUUCUGUCCAAUUUUUAGCCUCUGUCAUUAAGCAUGCAGCUUAUGAGUUGUUUAAGUUUGGGUAAGUUUUUGAACUAAUGUGCUGUGUUCUAGUACAGUCAAAUUUGUUGUUCCUAUUUUUGUAUGUAUUUCCCCAGGUGAUCCAGAUUCUAGAUGUUUAAGUGUAUAGAGCAUGUGAAAUUGAGACCAAUGCACUUUCAAUUGAAGGAAUUUGUGAAUAUGCAACAGUUGAUAAAGAGGACCCCAUCUUGUUUUCUGGGACACUGCAGUCAAAUCUGGAUCCACUUGGAAAACACUCAUCUUGAACUGUAGGAAGUGUUGGAGCUACGUGACUUAAAGGAUUUUGUCCAGUCACUGAAGAAGCUCCUCCAUGAGAUUUCAGAAGGUGUUGAAAAUAUUAGGUACAUAAUCAAGAAAGUGCUAAUGCCAUUAUUUUUCAGUACUGUAAAACUAUGUCCUUCCAGAGAAUUUACUUCAGAAGGUAUCAGGAUAGAAAUGACACAUCUCCUGUCAUUAUUGGUAGAACUAUUCUGGUAGUGCAAGUUACUUUGAGGUGACCAACUGGUCACAGUGAUAUAAAUUCUGAUGGCCUGGGUUGUAUGGGAAGCCAAGGACUAUUUUCAGCUCAAGAAUAUAAGUAAGUGUAAAGAAGUGGGGGAGUGGUGUUGCAAUUCAUGCAGCACCUGAUUAGACUUGGGUAGAAAAAUGUUCAUUUAUUUAAAUUUAAAAAAAAAAUAAAUCAAACCAGAAAAAUAAAACA